UUGAGAGACCUCUUGGACUUAUGAGGAGUAGAGGGCUAAGAACUGGAAGUCUGUAUGCUUGUGUGCCAUAUUGAUAGACUUAUUUGUUUGCUGCCACAGCUGUCAGGAGCCCAGGAUGGCUCAAUUUCCAUCCAAACUCUCAACCAGCCUUUUUCAUGUUGCAGUUGAUCCUGUUCUUCAAAAUGCCAAGGCACGAGCCACCAUUUCUUGUGAAUCAGGAUUGGUUAUAGGACCCCAGAAGGUUACAAGGAACACAUGUGCUCUGUCCACUGAAAGAGCCUAAGAGUAACAACACCUCAGAAACAAUGAACACAAGCACCAGACUGGGUUUCCAAACACCGUUUCCAAUGAGAAGUAACCAGGGUUCCUUGGAGUAAGGACAAUUCCAGGUCUGGAGCAAAGAAAAGACAAAGUUCCAAGGAAGAAAAAUGGUAUUUGCCUCGCCUUU